UAGGAAUCUUGCGCAAUGGGCGAAAGCCUGACGCAGCGACGCCGCGUGGAGGAGGAAGUCCUUCGGGAUGUAAACUCCUUUUUCCAGGGAAGAAUGGGGGCAACCCUUUGACGGUACCUGGUGAAUAAGCCCCGGCUAACUCCGUGCCAGCAGCCGCGGUAAGACGGAGGAUGCAAGUGUUAUCCGGAAUCACUGGGCGUAAAGCGUCUGUAGGUGGUUUAAAAAGUCCACUGUUAAAGAUUGAAGCUUAACUUCAAAAAUGCCGUGGAAACUUUUAAACUUGAGUAUGAUAGGGGUAGAGGGGAUUUCCAGUGGAGCGGUGAAAUGCGUAGAUAUUGGAAAGACCACCAAUGGCGAAGGCACUCUACUGGGCCAUUACUGACACUGAGAGACGAAAGCUAGGGGAGCAAAU
rnacentral:rRNA from 1 species